rnacentral:lncRNA from 1 species
GCAUAUCUUCAAAUCUAACAGUUGAUGCCCCUUUCUGGAACCCCAGACCGGUUCUGCCUUUGUUGUCGGAGACCUCUACCAUGCGCCCCCACUGAUCAACAAGACCUUCUUCAACAAUCUUCUGAGCAUCUUUCAGAGAGGACAUAGGUGCCCCAACUCUCUUCUCAACAGCAAUAGAGAAGGCUUGGAACGGAGUUCCAACCUCAUCCUCAACUUCUACAUACAAGAAAGAUGACAGAUGGAUAACCA